rnacentral:rRNA from 1 species
UACAGAGGUCCCAAGCGUUGUUCGGAUUCACUGGGCGUAAAGGGUGCGUAGGUGGUGAGGUAAGUCGGAUGUGAAAGCUCCGAGCUCAACUCGGAAAUGGCAUUGGAAACUACCUUGCUAGAGGGUUUGAGGGGGGACUGGAAUACUUGGUGUAGCAGUGAAAUGCGUAGAUAUCAAGUGGAACACCAGUGGCGAAGGCGCCUAUCUGGCUGACAAUUGACGCUGAGACUCGAAAGCAUGGGGAGCAAACAGG